UGAGUAUUUCUGCUCAUAACUCAGAAAAACUAAAAUACACUGGCUUCAAUUUCCCCCCCUGAGUUAGCCUUCCAGUUUAUUUAUAGUUCAAUGAUUCAGACUAGUUAGAAAUUAUCAUAAUUAUGCUAAUUUAUGCAUCAAUUUGAUAUUGUCAAUUCGUUUUGAAACUCAUGCGAAUUUUUUUCUAUUUUAGAACUAGUUUGGCCAAUUCCAUGUUACCUAUUACCGCUAAGUUAACAGGGACUAAAGUUUUUUGCUGUUACGUUACGUUACGCAAAGGCUAGUUGGCUGUCAGCACGUUGUAAAUAUAGAGAUUGUGUAAUUAUUUUCAAUCAUUAUUUGUUCAAUAAAACUUGUCAAAGAGGUGUAAAAAAUAAAUAAAUUUGCC